rnacentral:rRNA from 1 species
CAGCAGCCGCGGUAAUACGAAGGGGGCUAGCGUUGUUCGGAUUUAUUGGGCGUAAAGGGUGCGUAGGCGGUUUGGCAAGUCUUGUGUGAAAUCUAUGGGCUCAACCCAUAGCCUGCACGAGAAACUACCGGGCUUGAGUGAUGGAGAGGUGAGUGGAAUUUCCGGUGUAGCGGUGAAAUGCGUAGAUAUCGGAAGGAACACCAACGGUGAAAGCACUCUGCUGGGCCGACACUGACACUGAGAGACGAAAGUUAGGGGAGAAAAUGGAAUUAGAUACCCGAGUAGUCCCUGUCUCUUAUAC